rnacentral:rRNA from 1 species
UAAUACAGAGGGGGCAAGCGUUAUUCGGAAUUAUUGGGCGUAAAGGGCGCGUAGGCGGUUUUUUAAGUCAGAUGUGUAAUCCCCGAGCUUAACUUGGGAACUGCAUCUGAGACUGGAAGGCUAGAGUACUGGAGAGGGUGGUGGAAUUCCUCGUGUAGCGGUGAAAUGCGUAGAGAUGAGGAGGAACACCAGUGGCGAAGGCGGCCACCUGGACAGUAACUGACGCUGAGGCGCGAAAGUGUGGGUAGCAAACAGGAUUAGAUACCCUGGUAGUCCACGCUGUAAACGAUGAACACUUGGUGUGGAGGGAGUUGACCCCUUCCGUGCCGGAGCUAACGCGUUAAGUGUUCCGCCUGGGGAGUACGGUCGCAAGGCUG